rnacentral:rRNA from 1 species
CGGCAAACUCCGUGCCAGCAGCCGCGGUAAUACGGAGGGGGCAAGCGUUGUUCGGAAUUAUUGGGCGUAAAGGGCAUGUAGGCGGUUUAAUAAGUUAAAAGUGAAAUACCCGGGCUCAACUCUGGAGCUGCUUUUAAUACUAUUUAAACUAGAGAUCGAGAGAGGAUAGUGGAAUUCCUAGUGUAGAGGUGAAAUUCGUAGAUAUUAGGAGGAACACCAGUGGCGAAGGCGACUAUCUGGCUCAGUUCUGACGCUGAGGUGCGAAAGCGUGGGGAGCAAACAGGAUUAAAUACCCUGGUAGUCCAC